UUCGCAAUGCCCGAAAGGGUGACGAAGCGACGCCGCGUGGGUGAAGAAGGCCUUCGGGUUGUAAAACCCUGUCAGGAGUUAUGAAAUGUAAGUGCGCUAAUAUCGUGCUUAUUUGACAAAGGCUCCAAAGGAAGCCACGGCUAACUCUGUGCCAGCAGCCGCGGUAAUACAGAGCUGGCGAGCGUUGUUCGGAAUUAUUGGGCGUAAAGAGCACGUAGGUGGGUUUGCAAGUCAGAUGUGAAAGCCUUCUGUUCAACGGGAGAAUUGCAUCUGAAACUGCUAAUCUUGAGUAUAGGAGGGGAGAAUGGAACUUCUGGUGGAGCGGUGAAAUGCGUAGAUAUCAGAAGGAACGCCGGCGGCGAAAGCGAUUCCCUGGCCUAUUACUGACACUCAGUGUGCGAAAGCUAGGGGAGCAAACGGGAUUAGAUACCCCGGUAGUCCUAGCCGUAAACGAUGGGCACUAAGUAGA
rnacentral:rRNA from 1 species